CGAUGAUGCCCACUUGUGGGUGGAUUAGUGGCGAACGGGUGAGUAACACGUGAGUAACCUGCCCUUAACUCUGGGAUAAGCCUGGGAAACUGGGUCUAAUACCGGAUAUGACUCCUCAUCGCAUGGUGGGGGGUGGAAAGCUUUUUUGUGGUUUUGGAUGGACUCGCGGCCUAUCAGCUUGUUGGUGAGGUAAUGGCUCACCAAGGCGACGACGGGUAGCCGGCCUGAGAGGGUGACCGGCCACACUGGGACUGAGACACGGCCCAGACUCCUACGGGAGGCAGCAGUGGGGAAUAUUGCACAAUGGGCGCAAGCCUGAUGCAGCGACGCCGCGUGAGGGAUGACGGCCUUCGGGUUGUAAACCUCUUUCAGUAGGGAAGAAGCGAAAGUGACGGUACCUGCAGAAGAAGCGCCGGCUAACUACGUGCCAGCAGCCGCGGUAAUACGUAGGGCGCAAGCGUUAUCCGGAAUUAUUGGGCGUAAAGAGCUCGUAGGCGGUUUGUCGCGUCUGCCGUGAAAGUCCGGGGCUCAACUCCGGAUCUGCGGUGGGUACGGGCAGACUAGAGUGAUGUAGGGGAGACUGGAAUUCCUGGUGUAGCGGUGAAAUGCGCAGAUAUCA
rnacentral:rRNA from 1 species